rnacentral:lncRNA from 1 species
GUGGGUGGAGUAUACUUCCUGCCCCUUAACUUUGGGUUUGGCCAAAGAGAAUAUUAGUGGAUGGGACAUGACAGAGGCUUGAAAAGAGCCUGUGCAUCCAGGCUGCUCUUAUUGCACUUCAGUGGUCUACCAUGAGAAGAACUUCCUCCGGGCAGCUGUUGCUCCUUCAGCCUGGGCCCCAGAGUAAACACACAUGCCAACAGCCCAGUCUACAGUCUGGAGCCAAGUAUAGCUGAGCUGCAGCCUGAAACAGAGCUCCCCAGCCUAGCCCAGACUAAACCAGCCAAACCACAAUCCAUCUUGCAGACUCAAGUCAUCAGAAAGGACUUCUAGAUUGGGCAUCUUCAUAUGUGCAGCAUUCUCAAGACUAUCACCUCGCAGGAGAGUCGGCAGAGCUGCCAUCACUUCUUCAGCUGGACCAGUCUGUGAGGGUGCUUGGCUGCUCAUGAAGCAAGGCAGGAAUUCUAGAGAAGAAGGAUUUUCAGGCACCAGGAUGGGAGAGUGGAGACCAAUAUCACAAUCCCUCCACCAUGAUGCUGUAGGGACAUUGCAUAUGCAAAUGAGCCAAUCACAAAUGUUCUUGACCUUUAGGAGAAGACAGCAGAUUCAGUGAAAUGUUAUUGGAUGUUCGUUCCUGGAUACCCAUGGGCAAAUUGCCUAAGCCUCCUUUAAACAACUUGAGAUAGUGGAGAAGGAAGGAACAAGUCACAGUG